CGGGGAGGCGUCGAGCGGCGAACGGGUGAGUAACGCGUAGGAAUCUGCCUGAUAGUGGGGGAUAGCCCGGGGAAACCCGGAUUAAUACCGCAUACGCCCUACGGGGGAAAGGCUUCGGCCGUCCUUGGAUGGUCCCGCGUCCGAUUAGCUUGUUGGUGGGGUAACGGCCUACCAAGGCGACGAUCGGUAGCUGGUCUGAGAGGAUGAUCAGCCACACUGGGACUGAGACACGGCCCAGACUCC
rnacentral:rRNA from 1 species